UACGGAGGGUGCAAGCGUUAUCCGGAUUCACUGGGUUUAAAGGGUGCGUAGGUGGGCAGGUAAGUCAGUGGUGAAAUCUCCGGGCUUAACCCGGAAACUGCCGUUGAUACUAUCUGUCUUGAAUAUAGUGGAGGUGAGCGGAAUAUGUCAUGUAGCGGUGAAAUGCUUAGAUAUGACAUAGAACAUCGAUUGCGAAGGCAGCUCGCUACGCUAUUAUUGACACUGAGGCACGAAAGCGUGGGGAGCGAACAGG
rnacentral:rRNA from 1 species